AGCAAUACGUGGCAUACGGCUCAGUAACACGUAGUCAACAUGCCCAGGGGACGUGGAUAACCUCGGGAAACUGAGGAUAAACCGCGAUAGGUCAUAAUAUCUGGAAUGAUUUAUGGCUCAAAUCUACAUGGCCCCUGGAUUGGACUGCGGCCGAUCAGGCUGUUGGUGAGGUAAUGGCCCACCAAACCUAAAACCGGUACGGGCUCUGAGAGGAGAAGCCCGGAGAUGGGUACUGAGACAAGGGCCCAGGCCCUAUGGGGCGCAGCAGGCGCGAAAACUCUGCAAUAAGCGAAAGCUUGACAGGGUUAUUCUGAGUGAUUUCCGCUAAGGAAAUCUUUUGGCACCUCUAAAAAUGGUGCAGAAUAAGGGGUGGGCAAGCCUGGUGUCAGCCGCCGCGGUAAUACCAGCACCCCGAGUGGUCGGGACGAUUAUUGGGCCUAAAGCAUCCGUAGCCGGUUCUACAAGUCUUCCGUUAAAUCCAUCUGCUUAACAGAUGGGCUGCGGAGGAUACUAUGGAGCUAGGAGGCGGGAGAGGCAAGCGGUACUUAGUGGGUAGGGGUAAAAUCCGUUGAUCCACUGAAGACCACCAGUGGCGAAGGCGGCUUGCCAGAACGCGCUCGACGGUGAGGGAUGAAAGCUGGGGGAGCAAACCGGAUUAGAUACCCGGGUAGUCCCAGCUGUAAACGAUGCAGACUCGGUGAUGAAUAGGCUUCGUGCCUUUUCAGUGCCGCAGGGAAGCCGUUAAGUCUGCCGCCUGGGGAGUACGGUCGCAAGACUGAAGCUUAAAGGAAUUGGCGGGGGAGCACCACAAGGGGUGAAGCCUGCGGUUCAAUUGGAUUCAACGCCGGG
rnacentral:rRNA from 1 species